UCUCUCUGAAUCUGCGAACGGCUCCGCAUACCAGUUGUAAACCAUAGCAAGCACCCCAGGACUGGGGUCGCCUCCUUUUUCCGGGGAGGGGAUCUUGGACCCUGGGUUUACAUGGAUAUCCAUGGUAAUCCUGAGGCUAAUACAAGAACGUUACCACCUGACUGACCAGGUCCGGGAAAUCCCGCUGGGAUGUCGGGGAUUGUGUGAUAGAAUUGCACCACCUUAUGGCGGUGACUCGGUGCACAGUCAGACCACUAUACCAAACGAUCUCGGUACUUCGCGAGGGCCCCCGGGUGACUUGGGGUGAGUGCGCGGUCCUUGAUUCGGGUGGCUCUUGCUUCGUGCUUCUGACCUAUCAACUAGAUUGCAGCGUAAGGGACAUGCUAUGGUUACAACGGGUACAGAGGAUAAGGGUUCGAUCCUGGAGAGUGGGCCUGAGAGAUU
rnacentral:rRNA from 1 species